GAGCAUCUUGCAGAAUCUGCCACAGUUCUUCUGGAGACUCUGACUGACACACCUGCUUCUCUUUUUGCAGACUUCUUCCAAACCUGAUCAAACAACAUGGAAAAAGAGGGCCCUAAGGAAGGAACACCUAGGGAAGAUCCCGCUGAGCGCCUUCGCCGGCGUAUGGAUCGCUAUAAGAGACACCACCAGCAGUGCGAGCAGCGCUAUGAAGAAGCUCAGCAAGCAAAACGUAUGAAAAAAGAGGAAGAAGGAGGACAAAAUACCAAAGAAGAAAAACCAAAAGAGUUGGAGGUAAAGCACAAAAAAAGAAAAAACACAAAACACCAAAACACUACAACAAUAACAAACAUCCUUUUCUUGUAUGUCCAGGAUCCUGACAAGAAGGGGAAGGAGGAAGAAAAAAAAUAAAUCAAUGAAAAAAGAAAACAAUGUUCAAAGUUAAAAUUUUAAUAUGUUUAA